rnacentral:misc_RNA from 1 species
AGCAGUAAAGCUGAUGUGGUGGCAAAGCAGUUGAUAUAUGAUGGCAAAUCUUGACGUACUCGGCAGUUCAUUUUCUUCUGAGUAUUGAUGAUUCAAGAGAUUCAGAAGUCCUCGCCGGCACUUAUCCUUUCUUAUCUGAUAGUUUCAACUGUCAAAGGACUUGAAUAACUGAAAUUUGGUCUGCUUUGGGACACCGUGAUCAUUCUUCACAUUGUGAUAGCAUUGGGCCGAAGAUCUGUUCAGAUCAUUCGACUCAAUAACAGAAGAUGUAGCUUUUUAUGGGUGUUAGGAUAUGUUUACAAAGAAGUGUUUUUAAGUAUGAACCACCAUACUCAAUUAUUCUUUGGCGCAGGAUAACAUUGCAAUGUCCAUACUAUCAUGGCUGAUGGACGGAGUCUCAUUUCAUUUCCUAGCUGUGACAACUGUUCUCUUCUUGUCUCCAAGAAGAGCUCUCUGAUCCAUCAUGGCAUCACAAUCAUAUGUUUUCCUCCGUCAUUAUUGCUUUCCAAUCCAGAAUUUUCCCCAGCCUUCAUUUUACAGACUAGUCACAACUCACAAUGCCGACCUCGAUGCUGAGGCAGCAGAUAAAAUGGAGAAGGCACUUUCUUUACAUUGUUCCCUCAUGUGACAUGCACCUUUACUUGAAAUCUGUUAGUCCACCACCAAAGGUCUGUUGCUGAUUUUACUCGUAAAAAAUUUAUAGAUUUGACAGAGUGGUUUUGUAAUUGAGAUGUUAAGUUAAGAUGGUUUACAUCUCUGUUGGAUGGAAUAUUGUAUAUUUUAAUACUGAAGAAUGUUUCACUGGAGUCUUGUUCCAUUUGCUUUUAAGUUUUAAUUUAACCUAUCUUGGUGGUGUGUUUUUAGGUUUUGCUUUUGUGUACAUGGAUGAUGAAAGAGAUGCAGAGGAUGCUAUUCGUGGACUUGACCGUAUAGAAUUUGGCAGAAAGGGACGCAGACUUCGCAUUGAAUGGUCAAAGGAAGAGCGUAAUGGUAGGAGGCCAGAGACUUCAAGGAAAUCUUCAUCUAGUGUCAAACCUUCAAAGACUUUGUUUGUCAUAAAUUUUGAUCCAUAUAGUACUAGGAGCAGGGAUAUAGAGAGGCACUUUGAUCCAUAUGGAAAAAUACUCAAUAUAAGGAUAAGAAGAAAUUUUGCAUUUGUUCAAUAUGAAACUCAGGAGGAUGCUACUAGAGCCUUGGAUGCUACAAACAUGAGUAAACUGAUGGAUCAAGUCAUUACAGUUGAAUAUGCAAAUAAAGAUGAUGAUGACAGGAGAAAUGGGUUUAGCCCUGAUAGAAACCGAGAUAGGGGUCUUAAGAGAGGUUAUGACCGAGGCCGAUCUCGGAGUCCUUAUGGAAGAGAGAGGGGGAGUCCUGAUUAUGGUCGUGGGCGGGCCCGUAGCCCAAGUCCGAUCCGUCAAGGUAGGUCAAGCCCUGAUUAUGGUCGUCGACCUAGUCCUAAUCCCAAUCAUAGGGAAAGGGAUUCUGAGUAUGGCAGUGGCCGUAGUCCAAACAUGAGAAAGGAGAGGAACCCUGAUCAUGGAAAUGGCCAUAGUCCAAACCCUCGUAGGCUGAGAGCCGGUUCUGAAAAUGGUGAGGUGCACAGUCCACCAGAGGAAGGACUUCUGGAAUCUGGCCCUAGUCCCCCUAGGGCGGGGAGGAGAGGGAAAUAUAGCCCAGAUGAUUAUCGUGGCCGUAGCCGUAGCCGUAGCCCAAGGUCUAAACCUGAAGAAAUAGGUAGUCCUAGAUAUGCUGCAACAGAAAGUCCUCUUCCAGAACGACACAGGAGCCUUUCACCUCCAACUCGAGAAAGAUCCCGCUCCUAAUUUGCUCUGUAUCAGCCUCUGACCUGAGUCAUAUUUUUCGUGGACAGUCACAUUGCUAGUGGGUGCUGUAGAAGUAUGCUUUUAAGUUGCUGGAGCCUCAAAAUUCCAGUGUCUGUUUUUGCUACAAUAUGUUCGAAAUUCCAGUCACUAUAGUAUGUUUUUUUUGACAAUUUGUUCUUAAUAGACUUGCUACUGUAUUAGGUGAUUCUGUUUUAAAGUUGAUAACUCCUUGGUAAUACUUUGGUCUAGUUGGGCUGAACUAUCUUGAAUAUCAUAUUCUCAGAAUAUGUACUGAAG